UCCCUCAUAGCUUAGUCGGUAAAGAAUCUGCCUGCAAGGCAGGAGACCCAUGUUCGAUUCCUGGGUUGGGAA
rfam:TPA: Bos taurus chromosome 5, whole genome shotgun sequence.